ACUUCAGAAUAAAAACUUCUCCAGCAGUCAAAAAACAUUUUCCAGUAAAGAAUAAGCAUUUAUUCUUUUUAGUAUUGGGAAAAAUACAAUGGAUCGAAACCUCUUAAAAAACUAACAGAUAAUUAACUGACUUCCUUGUCAAACACUGAGUGUUUGCUAUAACGACAGAGACUGUUCUACAGGUUAGGAAUAUGGGGAAAGACAAGGCCUUUCAAGAAAUUCACCUAAUUCCUAUGGAAACUCAAGAGGAACCAGGGAUGGCAUCCUAGUGUGGGGUAUGCAGGGCAUUCUAGGCAUACAAAACUUAUACAACGAUAAAAAUCUAUCACAAGUAGUUCAGCAUAGCUCAUGUGGCUACUGUAUGCAGGCUGUGUGC